CUUUGCGCCGCCUCUCAACCAUGUUCAUCUCAGCUGCGAAACGGGAGUUUUUGACAUCUUCACUUGGUGCUGGUAAUUCCUUUCUCUCCCAUCUUUUUGUUGUUUUUGUAUUUGUCAAUCUAAUCUGAUAAAAAGCUCUUUCAGAUGGUUGGGGUUCAUUCCCCUGAUAUUGAAAAAUAAUGGCCAGUUUAUUACCCUUCUCAGUGUAACGUAAGUUUCCAGAUCCUGUAGCUCCUUGAGAAAUGCUGAUGUUGAUUGUACUGGUGUUGUUAUCUCUUCCUCUUUAGGUAUUGUUGAAAAUUUUCUUCAGAUCCCGAGGAGUAUGGCCUGUCAAGCAGGGAAGCUCCAUCUACCCUUAUUUUUUGUGAAGGUUUUUGAUUACUAGAGCAUUUAUCUAGACAUAGCACAGUAAAGUACUUGUUUAAAUUGCUCAAACCUUGACUGUGCCCCUGCUUUGUUUCCGAGGGCUUGUAAAAUUUAGGACCCCUAGCUUUCUCAUCUCUUUAAUUGACUAAAUCGACAGCUAGUUCUGAAUGUAAUUAUGCAUAUGACUGAAUCUGUCUCGUUCUGAUCCUCAGAUUAGGGGUUUGUGUUUUAUUCAUGUUAAUGUGCUUUCUGAUUCUUGCUGGUAGCUCAUAGAAACUGUGAUAUUUUGUGCUCAACUGUGCAUCAAUUACUUCAUUUGCUAAAGCAUCUGCUACUGUAUUUCCUUCUCUAAAAGUAUGUUGUUUCUUUGCUUGAAUUGCAUGAAUUCUGUCCCUCAUAUCUUCAAUCUGUUCAAUUAAUUCCCAAGGUACUUUCCACAGCCUGUUAAUCAUCUUCAUAAGAACUAAUGAGUCAGUCUCUAUGAUUACUUUCCUCAAAUCCUUUUGUUGCAUAUACUUUAAAGCAUCAUUUAUUGCUUCUAUUUCAGCUUGUGUGUUAGUAGUAAUACCCAAACUUUUUGCUUUUGCAUACACCAAAUCCCCUCUGUCAUCUCUAAUACAGAAUGCACACGCACUGAUUCCUGGAUUACCCCUGCUU
rnacentral:lncRNA from 1 species